ensembl:lncRNA
GUGGAGGGGCGGGGUGGGGGGCUGCACGCAGGCCUUGUGUCCGUCGUGCUGAGGGGGAGGAUCGCGGGGCUUGGGAGGGAGAAUGGGUCACGGCUGGAUGGGGGUCAGUGGGAACGGGGAGGCGUUUGGGGUCCUGGGGGAGAAGGGAGUUGGGGGGCCGGGACUGUGGGGCCUGGGCGCGGGUGAGGAGAUAAAGAGUGAGGGCAGCGGAGGGGUGGGGCAGUGGGUCAGACCCGUCGGCUGCUCGGUGUCACCCUGCUGCCAGCCGCAGCCCCAGGAGGUGGAGGUGGAGGUGGGGGUGGCUGUCAGCUCGCUUUGGCCGUUGUGCAACUGUUGGCCAACCCUUUGAGUGGAUGCACUCCGAGCUGCCUGCCCUGGGCCUGAGCACGGCUGGUUUAUGGACAGAAAGGGGGUUAAAGGCGCACGCAGCCCCCCAAGCUGCCCUUUCAGCUUUGAACUUGCUCGGUUGUGGAUCCUUGGUGUGCUUUGGGUCUCUCUAUCUAUGAGCUAGAGAUAGCAGUUGGCUCCGUGCGGGGAUUAAUUACCCCGUCUUGUAGUCGUGUAUUUGUUUAUUUGUUUUUACUAUAGAUUACAGCUGGAGGAAUUCUAAACAACCCGAGCCUCCUUGUCGUGGUGUUUAAGUGCAUUGUGCUCCUGUCUGAGCAGAGGAAAUCGCUGAGAGGUAUUUUGUACCGUCAGAAGGCUGUAUUUAUAAGUGGGAGAUGGUGCUGGAGCCCAUUUAUCCAACCUUCACUUCUACCUCUAAAUGAGCAGACGGUUCUACUGGGGAUUCUUUAACCUGGGGUAAGGAGACGUGAGGAAUGCUGAGAACAGAGGGUGACUGUAACAGUUGUGGACCACAUCUUGUGUUAUACAAACGUGUCACGCCGUGGUCUGAUACUUUGCCUUCUCAAAUCCCACGAGGAAAAGCAAGACAAAUGUGGCUCGCUUCAAACAUAUGUUGUUGUAAGUAUUGGGGAAGGCAAACUAAAGAUUUAUCUGAUUAUCUCAACCUUGAAGUUGGCAGCGAUGACAGGAAACUUGGUUUUAUUCAUCUGCCAAAGAUAUUUGUAGCGUAUCGUUUGACAAGUUAAAAGGCAUUUUUGGAAUGGCACAAAAAUAAAGCUGUCCACUUCCUGAAACUGGAGUUUCUGUCUUUUGGGAAAUACUAUGGGUUUGGAGAUGUGCUUCUGGGGAAAGGAAACCUAACUGUUUAUGUUUUCAACAACAGUAUUUAAUACGAAUCUAUUCAGCAUCGUCUGUGAAGUUGCUUUUGUCUUGGAUUUGUUAAAUUAGUGGGCAUUGUUUGGUUUCUGCAGGCUAAGUGGAACAGCAAGGAGUGAUCUGCCCAUGGAGCCAUAAAGUGGAAUUAAGGAUCAAGUUCUUCUGAAUCUUGGUCUUGUACUUCUUCCUACAGCCAAGUAUCUUGGAAGACUUUUCUUUCCAGUAUGAAAGCUUACCUCGGGUUCCGAUGGCAUCCUGCUCUUACCUCCAGCUCAGCCCUCACCACUGCUCUCCGCUUUUGACAUGGAACGGGCAGACACCAUUUGUGACCGUGCGAAUAUCCUGAGUCACACACUACCAGCUGGCUUUUGUGCUGCAGUUUUCCCUUCUCCCUUUACGACUGCACUCCCUAGAGGAGACCUGAACAAUUGCACUCGUCAGCAGAAGCGCAUGGUGUGCCGUGCCUGGAUGGCACCAUUGGUGGACGACCUCUGGCUGUGUCUGUGGGCUUCCUUUUGUAGCUGGGUUUCAUUCUGUUAGAUCCAGUUGAUUUGGCUUCUGCUCUGCCUGGGCUUUGCACCUGCUACAGCCCCAGCAAACUUGGCAGCAACCCUUCGGCUCUGCAGAGAAAACAACUGUCUAGACCAGGAACCUUCUGCCUGAUGCCCUGGAUGGACCCCAGGCACUAAUCUGCAUCCACAACGGCGCGUUGUUGUGUCUGUUGCAAAAGAUGGAUAAAAUCUUUGUGGACUCCUAAUUGCACCUUUAGCCUCCUGCUGUUCUGCAUUUAUGAUCUGAUCUGCACGCUGAGUCAACGUCGCUGUAACGACAUGGAUGGAGGGCAGAGGUCCGCAGGUUUGCUUUGAGGAAGCCCCAUAAACAGGGUAAUAGCACCAGAGUUACUGUUCUCUCGAACUAAAGGGAGAGAAAGUAAGCUGCCAAUCAAAAAGAACAUCUCGUGGCACAGGCAGAUGUUUCUGAUGGCGAUGCCGGAGCCAGCAGAACCCCUGCAGCAGCGCAGCCCCAUGGUGCUGGAGGCCCUUCCAGACUGGAGGUGUGGCGGUGGUCUGCAUGUCAGCAGAGCAGUCCCAGCAGCGUUCAGCAUGGAUGAGGUAUUGAACGCAUCCCUGUGCCUCUGGGGGGCAACGUGGCUUCUGCUGACGUGUGAACGCUCUGCUUGGCAGCCUGGUGCGGCACAUCACAGCUCAGAUGGGUUCUCCCAGGCGGCUGUGCAGCACAGAACUAAUACAUGGAAUACAGGCUCAGCACCGUGAGUCAGCACUGCCGGAGCCCAGACUUGUUUGCAGCAGCAGCGAGGCGGUGCGGGAGGUGUGGGCUGCGGGAGCCCUUCUGCCCAAACGCCAUCCGGGAUGAAAUGGGGCUAACAGGGAGCAAAAGGCUGAACGGUGCUCGUGGACUCGUUCUGCACCGACCUGCCAGUCUGCAGGCCCCAAAAAUACAGGCACGGCCCAAAGGUUUCUAUUCAGGGCCCAGCAGUGGAAUAAGGAACAUGAGCCGUGGGAUAUCCCGUGUCACCGCAGGCUGCUCAGCCUGGAAGGGGCUGGUGGCAAAGGGAGGAAACGUCAGAAACGCCAUGGACUAUUUUAGAUCUGCAACCUCAGUUCUGCAAAGGACAGCCUGCUGAUGUGCCACGCUCAGCGAGCAGCGGGGAGGAACCCCACGGCAGGAAGAGAGGUUUGCAAGUUUCCCUUUCCCAUAGAGCACAUCCCAAACUGCUGCACGACAGCAUGCUGUGCAGUGCUGUGCUGCGUGGUGUCCUGUCAGCCUGCUGGGAGGACACGGAGUGCUCCAGCAGUGGGCAAUGUGGGAGCAGGCUGUGAGCUGCACAGCCCAGCAUACAGCACGGUGUGAGGCUGGAACUCCCAGUGCCCUCAGCACGUCUCCGUGCUGCGUCCCUGGCUGUGCAGCUAGGCCUGGAGGGCCCGGGGCUGUGAGCUCAUGGGUUUCUAUUUAUGCUUUCAUCUGGUUUUGCCUGCUUUGGACGGUUAACGUAACGCACACGCAGGGUGGUGCUUCAAGGAGACAAACAGUUGCUUCAUCUCCCUGUACAGACAGCCCUCUGCCCUUUGCGUUUCGAUUCCCGGUGUCUGUGUGUGUGGAGGUGAUUUGUCCAUAAUUGUUUGCUUUCUCCGGAGUCCUUUGAAGCGCCUGUCUCCCAACCGGUCCCCUCUUAAGAAUAAAUGCUUCCAAGCCGC